CAGUAGCCACGGUAACACGUAGGGUGCAAGCGUUAAUCGGAAUUACUGGGCGUAAAGCGUGCGCAGGCGGUUAUAUAAGACAGAUGUGAAAUCCCCGGGCUCAACCUGGGAACUGCAUUUGUGACUGUAUAGCUAGAUUACGGCAGAGGGGGAUGGAAUUCCGCGUGUAGCAGUGAAAUGCGUAGAUAUGCGGAGGAACACCGAUGGCGAAGGCAAUCCCCUGGGCCUGUACUGACGCUCAUGCACGAAAGCGUGGGGAGCAAACAGGAUUAGAUACCCCUGUAGUCCCUGUCUCUUAUAC
rnacentral:rRNA from 1 species